rnacentral:rRNA from 1 species
CCUGGUUGAUCCUGCCAGUAGUCAUAUGCUUGUCUCAAAGAUUAAGCCAUGCAUGUGUAAGCACACACUGUUUUAAAAGUGAAGCCGCGAAUGGCUCAUUACAACAGCCACAGUUUAUUAGAACUUACAUACAUGGAUAACUGUGGUAAUUCUAGAGCUAAUACACGCACAAAAACUUCAACUGAAAUGGUUGAAGUGCUUUUAUUAGAACAAAAACCGAACGGCGUCUGGCUGAUGCUGAACGUCGAAACUCUUUGGUGAAUCUGAAUAACUAUUUCUGAUCGCAUGGUCUAGCACCGGCGACAUCACUUUCAAGUGUCUGCCUUAUCAACCUUCGAUGGUAGUCUAUGCGACUACCAUGGUGAUAACGGGUAACGGAGAAUCAGGGUUCGACUCCGGAGAGGGAGCCUGAGAAACGGCUACCACAUCCAAGGAAGGCAGCAGGCGCGCAAAUUACCCACUCCCAGCUUGGGGAGGUAGUGACGAAAAAUAACGAGACGAUUCUCGUUUGAGAAACGUUAUCGAAAUGAGUACGCUUUACACACGCUAACGAGUAGCAAUUGGAGGGCAAGUCUGGUGCCAGCAGCCGCGGUAAUUCCAGCUCCAAUAGCGUAUAUUAAAGUUGCUGCGGUUAAAACGCUCGUAGUUGAAUUGUGGUCUUAGACAACAGUCCCCCUAUAUAGGUGUGGCACGGUUGCUCGAGAUCUUCAUUCGUGGUUGCUGUUGUUGCUCUUCAUUGAGUGUCAAUGGUGCCUCGAGAUUUUACUUUGAAAAAAUUAGAGUGCUCAAAGCAGGUUGUGAUGCCUGAAUAAUGGUGCAUGGAAUAAUAGAAUACGAUCUCGGUUCUAUUUUGUUGGUUUUCGAACCGGAGAUAAUGAUUGAAAGGAACAGACGGGGGCAUUCGUAUUGCUGCGUUAGAGGUGAAAUUCUUGGAUCGCAGCAAGAUGAACAAUUGCGAAAGCAUUUGCCAAGAAUGUUUUCAUUAAUCAAGAACGAAAGUUAGAGGUUCGAAGGCGAUCAGAUACCGCCCUAGUUCUAACGGUAAACUAUGCCAACCAGCGAUUCGCCGAAGUUCAUUUAAGACUCGGCGAGCAGCUUCCGGGAAACCAAAGUGUUUCGGUUCCGGGGGAAGUAUGGUUGCAAAGCUGAAACUUAAAGGAAUUGACGGAAGGGCACCACCAGGAGUGGAGCCUGCGGCUUAAGUGGAGCCUGCGGCUUAAUUUGACUCAACACGGGAAAACUCACCCGGCCCGGACACUGAAAGGAUUGACAGAUUGACAGCUCUUUCUUGAUUCAGUGGGUAGUGGUGCAUGGCCGUUCUUAGUUGGUGGAGCGAUUUGUCUGGUUAAUUCCGAUAACGAACGAGACUCUACCCUAUUAAAUAGUGACAGUAUUGCAUAUUUUGUGCUGAUCACUUCUUAGAGGGACUGGCAAAUUGAAAGCUGCACGAAAAAGAGCAAUAACAGGUCUGUGAUGCCCUUCGAUGUCCGGGGCUGCACGCGCGCUACAAUGAAAGCGUCAACGUGAGUUACGUCCUUACCUGAAAAGGUUUGGCAAUCGAUUGAAACGUUUUCUUGAAUGGAAUAGGGAAUUGCAAUUGUUUCCCUUGAACGAGGAAUUCCCAGUAAGCGUGAGUCAUUAGCUCGCGUUGAUUACGUCCCUGCCCUUUGUACACACCGCCCGUCGCUACUACCGAUUGGAUGAUUUAGUGAGGUGUUUUGACUAGCGCCAGUAGUCGGAUGUAAAUUCGGCUUCGCGCCGGGAAAUUUCCCAAACCAAAUCAUCUAGAGGAAGUAAAAGUCGUAACAAGGUUUCCGUAGGUGAACCUGCGGAAG